rnacentral:rRNA from 1 species
AGAGUUUGAUCCUGGCUCAGGACGAACGCUGGCGGCGCGCCUAACACAUGCAAGUCGAACGAGAGAUGAGGAGCUUGCUCUUCAAAUCGAGUGGCGAACGGGUGAGUAACGCGUGAGGAACCUGCCUCAAAGAGGGGGACAACAGUUGGAAACGACUGCUAAUACCGCAUAAGCCCACAGCUCGGCAUCGAGCAGAGGGAAAAGGAGCAAUCCGCUUUGAGAUGGCCUCGCGUCCGAUUAGCUAGUUGGUGAGGUAACGGCCCACCAAGGCGACGAUCGGUAGCCGGACUGAGAGGUUGAACGGCCACAUUGGGACUGAGACACGGCCCAGACUCCUACGGGAGGCAGCAGUGGGGAAUAUUGCACAAUGGGGGAAACCCUGAUGCAGCGACGCCGCGUGGAGGAAGAAGGUCUUCGGAUUGUAAACUCCUGUUGUUGAGGAAGAUAAUGACGGUACUCAACAAGGAAGUGACGGCUAACUACGUGCCAGCAGCCGCGGUAAAACGUAGGUCACAAGCGUUGUCCGGAAUUACUGGGUGUAAAGGGAGCGCAGGCGGGAGAACAAGUUGGAAGUGAAAUCCAUGGGCUCAACCCAUGAACUGCUUUCAAAACUGUUUUUCUUGAGUAGUGCAGAGGUAGGCGGAAUUCCCGGUGUAGCGGUGGAAUGCGUAGAUAUCGGGAGGAACACCAGUGGCGAAGGCGGCCUACUGGGCACCAACUGACGCUGAGGCUCGAAAGUGUGGGUAGCAAACAGGAUUAGAUACCCUGGUAGUCCACACCGUAAACGAUGAUUACUAGGUGUUGGAGGAUUGACCCCUUCAGUGCCGCAGUUAACACAAUAAGUAAUCCACCUGGGGAGUACGACCGCAAGGUUGAAACUCAAAGGAAUUGACGGGGGCCCGCACAA